AUGAAUUCAUUACUCAAAAUUUUAGUUUUUGUGUCCAGGAACUGAACAGUUACCGUCUCCUCCUAAACUCCGCCCACCAGUGAUAUGUCAGCCAACCAGAACACGUAAAAAGCCAGCGCUUGUACUUUGGCUUACAACUCCUCUGUUUGUUAUUUGUGGUUUACAGAGGCUAGUGCUGUUAGAGCUGUUAUUUCUCAAGGCACAAAUCUGCUAUAUGUCACGUAAAAAAAAAUAAAAAAUAAAAUUGCAGCACUUAUUUAAGCCUAUGUGUAACAGAACUGUAAAAAAAAAAAAUCAAAAGAACAGAGCGCUGGAACACUGUGGUCUGUCGUCUCUGUGUCUCCUUCUAUCGGCGGUAUGGAGUCACUGCCACUACAAAUGUUUCGUUUUUUUUCAUAUUUUACCUCGUCUCGUGCCCCCGCAGACAGGGAGAGAGCACGCGCGCUCACGCCUCCUCCUCGGCCCUCCUGCGCUCGAGGCUCCAGCGCUGCCACGUAAUCUCGCACGAGCACCCGCUCACUCACUCAAAACCUCCGGGAACCGAGACAGCGACUGCGGAAGAUUAGAAAAACAGUGCACGAAAGCCCUCCGGCGGGUGUAGCGGAGCGCAGACUGAAGCGGACCGUGCAUUUUGGUUUUUCAUCUGGGAUCGCCGGUGACCCGCUGUGUGGAAACACACUGAGCCAUGCGGCAGUUGAAGGGCAAGCCCAAGAAGGAGUCUUGGAAGGACAAAAAGGAGCGCAAGCAGGCCAUGCAGGAGGCACGGGAGCAGGUGACGACGGUCGUUCUCCCGACGCUCGUCGUGCUCGUGCUACUCAUCGUCCUCUUCGUCUACGUGGCCACGAGACCCGGAGCCAUCGAGUAAAGAGACUCCAAACAGCCAAAUCUCCCUGGUCCUCGUCUUUCUCUUUCAUUUACCCUCGUUCCUUCCCAAUGUAUGAACUACACACAAUCAUAGGGAUGGAUGGAUUGAUAAAGGAAUGGGUUUCAGUGCCAUUUUUGGAGUGUGUUAAAGAAGGAGUCUUCCGUUUGGGCUUCUGACAGCGCGCCUCUCCCAGCCACCAGCAUUCGUGUCUGUGGCAGCCAUGUUGGCUCCAAGUGCAUUCACAGGGUUCUAGUUUCAUGCCAAAGCACCUGAGACACAGCAGACUUGGACUGACCCAGGAAGUGGGCCAGAUCUGAUGCCUCUGUGCUCAGUACAAAUGAGAAGUGACUGUAGUAUUGCAUAUGUCUGUAGCAUGCAAGCUUAUACACACACACACACAGUUUCACAAAUGAACACUGCUGGGAUUAAUGACUGAAGAGAAUGUUACCCAGAAUGUAUUUUUCUGAAUGCUCUACCGAAUGCCUCUUAACAAGCAGUUGCUGAUGUUUGUGGUUGAAGUGUGUGUGUGUGUGUGUGUGAGCAGAUGCACCAUGGGGUGCAUGUUUUUAUAAUACAUCUGUGAUAUACAAUCCCGGCAGAAAACAUGCUCUUAUUUUAAAAUGUAUUCCAGCAGGACUUGGAUCUGAAAAUGUGCCUUAACUUUUAAUGACGUAACAGCGUUUGAAGUGUUAAUAAAGAUAUAGGAAGCCAUGCUGACUGCUUUAAGUAUGGUUUUAAUAAGA